rnacentral:rRNA from 1 species
GUACCUAUUGAAUAAGCUCCGGCUAACUACGUGCCAGCAGCCGCGGUAAUACGUAGGGAGCAAGCGUUAUCCGGAUUUACUGGGUGUAAAGGGCGUGUAGGCGGGACUGCAAGUCAGAUGUGAAAACUAUGGGCUCAACUCAUAGCCUGCAUUUGAAACUGUAGUUCUUGAGUGCUGGAGAGGCAAAUGGAACUCCUAGUGUAGCGGUGAAAUGCGUAGAUAUUAGGAAGAACACCAGUGGCGAAGGCGAUUUGCUGGACAGUAACUGACGCUGAGGCGCGAAAGUGUGGGGAGCAAACAGGAUUAGAUACCCUGGUAGUCCACACCGUAAACGAUGGAUACUAGGUGUGGGGGGUCUAACCCCCUCCGUGCCGCAGUUAACACAUUAAGUAUCCCACCUGGGGA